AUGGGAUCUGAGCUCGGCACAGUCUCUGA
rnacentral:misc_RNA from 1 species